UUGAACGCUGGCGGCAUGCUUUACACAUGCAAGUCGAACGGCAGCACGGGGGCAACCCUGGUGGCGAGUGGCGAACGGGUGAGUAAUGCAUCGGAACGUAUCCUUGAGUGGGGGAUAACGCAGCGAAAGUUGUGCUAAUACCGCAUAAGCUCUGAGGAGGAAAGCGGAGGGACCUGAGAGGGCCUCGCGCUGGAGGAGCGGCCGAUGUCCGAUUAGCUAGUUGGUGAGGUAAAGGCUCACCAAGGCGACGAUCGGUAGCUGGUCUGAGAGGAUGAUCAGCCACACUGGGAUUGAGACACGGCCCAGACUCCUACGGGAGGCAGCAGUGGGGAAUUUUGGACAAUGGGGGAAACCCUGAUCCAGCCAUGCCGCGUGAGUGAAGAAGGCCUUCGGGUUGUAAAGCUCUUUCGUGAGGGAAGAAAUAGUCUGGGAUAAUACCCUGGAAAGCUGACGGUACCUCAAGAAGAAGCACCGGCUAACUACGUGCCAGCAGCCGCGGUAAUACGUAGGGUGCGAGCGUUAAUCGGAAUUACUGGGCGUAAAGCGUGCGCUGGCGGUUUUUUAAGACAGAUGUGAAAUCCCCGGGCUUAACCUGGGAACUGCAUUUGUGACUGGAAGGCUAGAGUACGGCAGAGGGGGGUAGAAUUCCACGUGUAGCAGUGAAAUGCGUAGAUAUGUGGAGGAAUACCGAUGGCGAAGGCAGCCCCCUGGGUCGAUACUGACGCUCAUGCACGAAAGCGUGGGGAGCAAACAGGAUUAGAUACCCUGGUAGUCCACGCCCUAAACGAUGUCAACUAGGUGUUGGGGGAGGAGACUUCCUUAGUACCGCAGCUAACGCGUGAAGUGACCGCC
rnacentral:rRNA from 1 species